GGCUCUGUGGCGCAAUGGACAGCGCAUUGGACUUCUUGGUUCAACAUUGGAGCUAUUCAAAGGUUGUGUGUUCAAGUCUCUCCAGAGUCA
rnacentral:tRNA from 1 species